UACGAAGGGGGGCUAGCGUUGCUCGGAAUCACUGGGCGUAAAGGGUGCGUAGGCGGGUCUUUUAAGUCAGGGGGUGAAAAUCCUGGAGCUCAACUCCAGAACUGCCUUUGAUACUGGGUAUCUUGAGUAUGGAAGAGGUAAGUGGAAUUGCGAGUGUAGAGGUGAAAUUCGUAGAUAUUCGCAGGAACACCAGUGGCGAAGGCGGCUUACUGGUCCAUAACUGACGCUGAGGUGCGAAAAGCGUGGGGGAGCAAACAGGG
rnacentral:rRNA from 1 species